UCGUCACCAAUCUAUUUUCUUCUAUAUAGAUGGUUAUAUAAAGAUUAGGGUAAGGUUCGAUUCUUUACGAGCAGGUGUCGUAAUGUGAUCCGUUGCCGAUGCCUAUCAUUGUGGAAGGAUAGUUGUCUUGUGUCCGACAAUACAUACAUCAGUGUAGCUUUGUGAGCUUCAAGCAGUUCGCUGUUGAUCGUUGAUGAAGAAGCUAUGAUCGCCCACUUGAUCGACGUGGUCACCAUGGGCUAGUUUUACGGGCGGAAAGGAGGUGGAAGUUUGCGGAAGGUGAGGCCGGAGGCAGCGUUGACAUGGGAAGCUAAAAGCAUCGUUCGAAGAGGUUACUGAUCCUCGGUCGUGAGGAAGAAGAUGAGGAGGGAAGAAGGAAGAGUG
rnacentral:lncRNA from 1 species